rnacentral:rRNA from 1 species
GGACCGUGUAUAAGUCUCCUGGGAUGGGGCGUCAUAGAGGGUGAGAAUCCCGUCUCUGACAUGGACUACCAGUGCAUUGUGGUAUGCUCUCAAAGAGUCGAGUUGUUUGGGAAUGCAGCUCAAAAUGGGUGGUAAAUUCCAUCUAAAGCUAAAUAUUGGCGAGAGACCGAUAGCGAACAAGUACCGUGAGGGAAAGAUGAAAAGAACUUUGGAAAGAGAGUUAAACAGUACGUGAAAUUGCUGAAAGGGAAACGCUUGAAGUCAGUCACGUUGGCCGGGAAUCAGCCUUGCUUUUGCUUGGUGUACUUUCUGGUUGACGGGUCAGCAUCAAUUUUGACCGCUGGAAAAAGUCCUGGGGAAUGUGGCAGCUUCGGCUGUGUUAUAGCCCCUAGUCGCAUACAGUGGUUGGGAUUGAGGAACUCAGCACGCCGCAAGGCCGGGUUUCGACCACGUUCGUGCUUAGGAUGCUGGCAUAAUGGCUUUAAGCGACCCGUCUUGAAACACGGACCAAGGAGUCUAACAUGCCUGCAAGUAUUUGGGUGGAAAACCCAAGUGCGUAAUGAAAGUGAAAGUUGAGAUCCCUGUCGUGGGGAGCAUCGACGCCCGGACCAGAACUUUUGGGACGGAUCCGCGGUGGAGCAUGUAUGUUGGGACCCGAAAGAUGGUGAACUAUGCCUGAAUAGGGUGAAGCCAGAGGAAACUCUGGUGGAGGCUCGUAGCGAUUCUGACGUGCAAAUCGAUCGU